GCAUGCAGGUAAAGAAAUCUACACCAUUAAAUCCCCAUGGUGUGUUUCAGACAAGAAGUGAACAGCUAAGAGCCACCGCAGGGUGCUGCAUGCCAUGGAAUUGAAGAGGAGGAUCUGAUCUUUGUCUUAGCCACCCAGCUUUAACUUUUGGUUCCAUUUUAGACCUUGCUGAGCAUGUCUGUUGUGGAGUCAUGGAAUAGACCCAGCACAGGCUUUGGGGAUCACCUGGAGACAAAAGGCUAGUGACUUAUAAGAAGGUUACAUUACUGAGGAAACCAACAGGGUGAGAAAGAGCCUCCCAACACUUGCAAAAGUGAAGAGAAAGGUAUUGCUCUGAGGCACUGUUUGGGAAAAACAGCCAGUCUGGAGAUGUCUUGAGUAGCUGAGCUGUCAUACCUGCUGGACCACUAGCUGCCUCACAUUGCAACGCCAUGUGAACCUGUCACCAGAAUAGUGACACAUCACCUUGCAUUGUUACCCAUCUUACUCUGCCUCACUUUGCUUUUCCCUGACUCUUUCUAUGCUGGGGUCUUGUUUCCCAAAUAAAGUAUGACUACUUAGUAUGUGUUUCAGCAACAGGCUCUUUCACUAGGGCCCUGGGACAAAGAUAUCACUGAUUCCAGGUCAGAGUGAAAAAUAAAGACACACCUGGACGCAUCAAAGUGAAACUCCAGAUACCAAAGACAAAGACAAAAAUCUUAAAAACAACCAGAGAGAAAGGAUAGAUCAGCUUUAGAGAAGUGAC